rnacentral:rRNA from 1 species
AACGAACGCUGGCGGCAGGCUUAACACAUGCAAGUCGAGCGCAUCCUUCGGGGUGAGCGGCAGACGGGUGAGUAACGCGUGGGAACAUGCCCAAAGGUACGGAACAACCCCGGGAAACUGGAGCUAAUACCGUAUGUGACCGAGAGGUGAAAGAUUUAUCGCCUUUGGAUUGGCCCGCGUUGGAUUAGCUAGUUGGUGGGGUAAAGGCCUACCAAGGCGACGAUCCAUAGCUGGUCUGAGAGGAUGAUCAGCCACACUGGGACUGAGACACGGCCCAGACUCCUACGGGAGGCAGCAGUGGGGAAUAUUGGACAAUGGGCGCAAGCCUGAUCCAGCCAUGCCGCGUGUGUGAUGAAGGCCUUAGGGUUGUAAAGCACUUUCGCCAGGGACGAUAAUGACGGUACCUGGAUAAGAAGCCCCGGCUAACUUCGUGCCAGCAGCCGCAGUAAGAC